GUCCUGGCCCUAAACGAUGUCAACUAGGUCGGAGUCACUCUGACGUGUUUCUGGCCGAAACAAAAGCGUUAAGUUGACCGCCUGGGGAGUACGGUCGCAAGGCUAAAACUCAAAGGAAUUGACGGGGGCUCACACAAGCGGUGGAGUAUGUUGCUAAAUUCGAUGCAACGCGAAGAACCUUAUCCUGGGCUUGACAUGCUUGGAUGCCUGCCUUGAAAGAGAAUAGGCUGCCCUUCGGGUGAAACUUGCACAGGUGCUGCAUGGCUGUCGU
rnacentral:rRNA from 1 species